UGCAAGUCGAGCGCAUCGAUGGGAGCUUGCUCCCUGAAGUGAGCGGCGGAUGGGUGAGUAACACGUGGGUAACCUGCCUGUCAGAUCGGGAUAACUGUGGGAAACCGCAGCUAAUACCGGAUAAUCCUUCGCACCGCAUGGUGCGGAGUUGAAAGAUGGUUUCGGCCAUCACUGACAGAUGGGCCCGCGGUGCAUUAGUUAGUUGGCGGGGUAACGGCCCACCAAGACAGCGAUGCAUAGCCGACCUGAGAGGGUGAUCGGCCACAUUGGGACUGAGACACGGCCCAAACUCCUACGGGAGGCAGCAGUAGGGAAUCUUCCACAAUGGACGAAAGUCUGAUGGAGCAACGCCGCGUGAGCGAAGAAGGUUUUCGGAUCGUAAAGCUCUGUUGCUGGAGAAGAACGAGUGCGAGAGGAAAUGCUCGUACUGUGACGGUAUCCAGCCAGAAAGCCACGGCUAACUACGUGCCAGCAGCCGCGGUAAUACGUAGGUGGCAAGCGUUGUCCGGAAUUAUUGGGCGUAAAGCGCGCGCAGGCGGCUUCUUAAGUCUGAUGUGAAAUCUUGCGGCUCAACCGCAAACGGUCAUUGGAAACUGGGAAGCUUGAGUGCAGAAGAGGAGAGUAGAAUUCCACGUGUAGCGGUGAAAUGCGUAGAUAUGUGGAGGAAUACCAGUGGCGAAGGCGGCUCUCUGGUCUGUAACUGACGCUGAGGCGCGAAAGCGUGGGGAGCAAACAGGAUUAGAUACCCUGGUAGUCCACGCCGUAAACGAUGAAUGCUAGGUGUUAGGGGGGUCCAACCCCUUAGUGCUGAAGUUAACACAUUAAGCAUUCCGCCUGGGGAGUACGACCGCAAGGUUGAAACUCAGAGGAAUUGACGGGGGCCCGCACAAGCAGUGGAGCAUGUGGUUUAAUUCGAAGCAACGCGAAGAACCUUACCAGGUCUUGACAUCCUCUGACAAGCCUAGAGAUAGGCCGUUCCCCUUCGGGGGACAGAGUGACAGGUGGUGCAUGGUUGUCCUCAGCUCGUGUCGUGAGAUGUUGGGUUAAGUCCCGCAACGAGCGCACCCUUGAUCUUAGUUGCCAGCAUUCAGUUGGGCACUCUAAGGUGACUGCCGGUGACAACCGGAAGAAGGUGGG
rnacentral:rRNA from 1 species